AGGCAUGCAGUCGAGCGAUGAUUUAUGGAAUGAGGCCGCAAGGCCAAGUGAAGUGAGUCAUAGCGGCAAACGGGUGAGUAAUGCGUGAGUAAUUUACCCUUAAGAUUAGAAUAGCUUCGUGAAAACGGAGGUAAUACUGAAUGUGACUACGAUUUGGCAUCAUUUCGUAGUAAAAGCAGGGGACCGCAAGGCCUUGCACUUAGGGAUGAACUCGCGUCCUAUCAGCUAGUUGGUGAGGUAAUGGCUCACCAAGGCAAAGACGGGUAGCUGGUCUUAGAGGAUGGUCAGCCACAUUGGGACUGAGAUACUGCCCAGACUCCUACGGGAGGCUGCAGUCGAGAAUCUUUAGCAAUGGGCGAAAGCCUGACUAUGCGACGCCGCGUGAGGGAUGAAGGUCUUCGGAUCGUAAACCUCUUUCGAUUGGGAAGAAUAUCCUUGACAAUAACAUUGCCAAGGACUGACGUUACCAAGAGAAGAAGCCAUGGCUAACUCCGUGCCAGCAGCCGCGGUAAUACGGAGAUGGCAAGCGUUACUCGGAUUCAUUGGGUGUAAAGGGCAGGUAGGUGUCCUAUUAAGUAAGAUGUGAAAUCCUUUGGCUCAAUCAAAGAACUGCAUCUUAAACUGAUAGGAUUGAGUGCGAAAGAGGAAAGCGGAACUCUCGGUGUAAGGGUGAAAUCUGUAGAGAUCGAGAGGAACACCAGCAGCGAAGGCGGCUUUCUGGUUCGCAACUGACACUGAGCUGCGAAAGCUAGGGGAGCAAACAGGAUUAGAUACCCUGGUAGUCCUAGCCGUAAACGAUGAGUACUUGGUGUCCCGGUUUAUUCUGGGGUGCCGACGUUAACACAUUAAGUACUCCACCUGGGGACUACGGCCGCAAGGCUAAAACUCAAAGGAAUUGACGGGGGCCCGCACAAGCGGUGGAACAUGUGGUUCAAUCGACGAUACGCGAAGAACUCACCAGGACUGACAUGUAAGUAGUAGAACCGAAGGGAGAUGACUCGUUAGGCGAGUGCUACACAGGUGUGCAUGGCUGU
rnacentral:rRNA from 1 species